rnacentral:lncRNA from 1 species
GGGUCGGUGAUUCGUUUGGAUGAUAUUCAUCAUGCAACAGUUAUAGCACGGAGAGAUAUGUGGCUAGCUCCAGUUCGUCAUUGUGAUGUAGGCAUGCAUUCCGUGUGUAGUCAUACGUGCUUAGGGAAAAGAACUUGCAUGACAUCUAUUGUCCAUCCCUCCCGUGGCAGCGGGGUCCAAAAGGAUACUACAGGUUAUUAAGUUUCUCCUUUUAAUAAAGAACCGGAACAAUGCAUUAGCACUUGG